ACAAUGACUCUCGGCAACGGAUAUCUCGGCUCUUGCAUCGAUGAAGAACGUAGCGAAAUGCGAUACUUGGUGUGAAUUGYAGAAUCCCGUGAACCAUCGAGUCUUUGAACGCAAGUUGCGCCCGAAGCCAUUAGGCCGAGGGCACGCCUGCCUGGGUGUCACAC
rnacentral:rRNA from 1 species